rnacentral:lncRNA from 1 species
CUUCCUUUCCCACAGAAACGUUCUUUUCAUAAGACUAAAUUAGGUAUGUAAUUUGUAUCAUUUUAUCUCUGUACAUUACAGUUACAUUCUACACAGACAUCCACACAAACACACAUACUAUAACUAUGUAGCAGGGUUGGUUUUUUUUUCCUUUUUUUAUUUUAUUUUGAUCAACUUUCGGUUCAGUUGUUUGUGAGAUAUGUUAGAACACGUUGAAUGCCUUACUAAUGUUGCCUAUUUCAACUAUUUGUUAUUGUUCGCUUCGAUUUUUGUGGACUGUUUUUUAUUGUUCCCGCGUAAUACGGUAUUUGGGGACAUUGAAAUAUUGGACGUCCUUAAAUACCGUCCUUCUAUUCGCACGUCUAUCCGUCCUGUCUUGUUUAAUAGCGCGCUAUUAAUGACAUCUAUAAUUCUUGCCAAAUUUUUAUAAAACUCAUAACAUAGGUUUACAUCAACAAUGUAUUUGACUACAAAUGUAGUACUGAUCAUAUAUUUAUAAAAGAGAUACAAUGUAUAUAAUCCAUUUAUAAUUAUUGAUUGGAAAAUUGUAUUGUCAGCGAAAUCAUUUGUACAAUAUGUGACAGAAUUUUAUAAAACUUAUACAAUAGGUUAUAUUAUUAUAACUAACACGAGUGCGGAAAGUAAUGCCAAUCAAAUAUUUUUAAUAGACGUGUUAUGAAAUUGUAUAUAUAGCAAUGACGAGGUUGACAAAUUAAACUUUAAAUGCCGGUUUCGAACCACAGCACACAAAUUAUUUAAAGAUUUUAAUUACCUUUGUCUCAAUAAAAUCAUGUUUUAAAAUGUAUAGUAAUGAUGUCUGCUUAUAUUUACUUCAAUAACCAACAUCUUUUUAAAAACUUUAUCAUAGCUAGUUUCCUGAUGAAUAUUCCUUAUGGAACAAAUGUUCUAUAAUCAUAAUUAUUUCGUGAAGAAUAAAGAUGAUUUACUGCUUUUAACUUUAAAAAAAGGGGGGCUAUAUUUGUUUGUAUUUACAUGUACCUUUGUACAGUGUAUCCAAAUUCAUUAAAUAUGAAAAUGCAUUCCCUUGAAUCGUUUCUUUUCUUCACUAGUCUAUAGCUAUAUACUAUAAAAUUGAGAAUGGAAAUGGGGAAUGUGUCAAAGAGACAACAACCCGGCCAUAGAAUAUACAACAGCAAAAGGUAACUAAUAGGUCUUCAAUUUAGCGAGAAAUUCCCGCACCUGGAGGCAUCCUUCAGCUGGCCACUAAACAAAUAUAUAUAUAUAUUAGUUCAGUGAUAGUGAACGUCAUACUAAACUCCAAAUUUUACACAAAAAACUAAAAAUACUCUGUCUGAUACCUAUUCAGGAAAAGAUCGAUUUCCUUUCUAUUAUUUGCAUGUAAAAUGUGACCGGUUUGACUUAAGGAUGUUUGCUCCUCUAUUUUUUGAAUUUUUGGCCAGAUUUUCGGAAUCCUCUGGUUUUACCCAUGUAUUGACAUUUCAAAAAUUUGCCCACUAACCCCUACUUUUCUUUUCAUAUUUUUAUUAAAUAUUAUUUAAAAAGCCAUAUUUCAAAAUCUUAUGAAAUCCUUGUUAUUUUUUCUUAGUUUUUUAAACAGAAAAGGUGCCAAUGUAAAGUGUAAGAAAAAUCUAGAGAAAAUGAUUUCCCGUCAAAUUGUCAACGGCUUAUAUCUUGAAAACAAGCAUACUUUUUUUUCUGCUUUUUUAGUUUCUUUAUUUAGAUACUUUCAAUUUAUAACAGUCUUUUAAAAAGCUUGUUAUUUUUAAACAGAGUAGGGAACAUCCUUAACGACAUUUUAUAUAUAUAUAUUCCUGCAAAGUAUUGAAAUAUACCGCUUUGUAAUUUCUGAGGUACGAGUUAUGCCCCUUGGAAAUAUAUAUCAUAAAGGAAAUUGCAUAGUUACAUUUGCUCUGAAGCAUUCAUUUGGUUAAGAUAUUUAUGAAACGUUUUUAUAAGGAGAAUGACCGAAUGUCCUUGAACCUUGGAAAGAUAAAAAAAGACACUGAACUUUUUUCAAAGCUAACGUUGUACUUUACCAUACAUAUUAUUUAAAUAAGGUUUAGCAACAUCUUAGGUGUUAAUUAUAAAAAAAAACUAUAUUUGAAAAACUUCCAAAUUUUAUAAUCGAAUGUGUGUCGAGUAAAACAUCUUCUUUAUUGCAAAACUAUAUAUUUAUUGUAGUUUUAAAGAGUAUAGUUUCCAGUUAAACAUAUAUAUGUCUCUAUACUCUUGUUGCGUGAUACUAAGUAUACUCAAAGUACGAAAAGUUUGUAGUGAUAAAAAAGAUGUUUGUGGCCACCGUGAAUUAUAUGUACUUAUGUGAAUGAGCACAACUACUUUAAAAAUUGGUAUUUGCUGCUUAUUCGCUAAGCAUAGAGUUAUUGAAUCGGAGUCAGAAGCGUUAGUAGGAUAAGACGUCUUAUUAGUAUAUUAUGUGUGUCACUGUCUGAACAAUAGCCUGUGAAAAUGAUGAUAUUGAAUUUAAAUGACUAUUGAACUUAAUAUUAGUAUCAAAGGCCAUAAAGCUAAAUUGAAUUAUGAACAAUAAAGUAUGCGAAGCAUUUCAGAAUAUAUCAAAGUAUUAAUUCAAGUACAAGCAAUCUAUUGUAGGAUUAUGGCCACCAAUUGGAGUAUCUGCGGAAUGUGUGAUCAUCUUCAUAUUACCAAACUUGCAGUAGUAUGGUGUUCCGAAUGUGACGAAGGACUUUGUGAAGAGUGUAAAAACCAUCACGAUGUUUCCAAAGCAACAAAAAGCCAUGCAGCUGUUUCUAUCUCUGAAUACAAAAUGUUGCCGACCAAAGUCCUGCGAAUCGCUCAGAAUUGCAAACUUCAUAAUGAGAAAUACGAGCUGUUCUGUAGAAAACAUGAUUGUCCAUGCUGUAAGAAAUGUGUGAAAUCUCACAACGAUUGUAAAGGUUUAAUUGACAUAAAUGAACUCAUAAAAAACGUAAAAACUUCAAGCGCUUUUAAUGAAAUAGAACAAACCCUGCAGGAAGUCGUUGAGAAUAUUAAAAGACUCAGAACUAAUUGGAAAGAAAAUUUAAAAUCUAUAGAAAACAAGAAAAGAGAAAUUGAAGCAGAAAUAAAACAAACCAGGAUACAAGUAAAUCACCACCUUGAUAAACUUCAGGAUGACUUGAUUAAAGAAUUAAUGAGAGUUGAACAAAAAGAAAAAAGCAAAAUAGAAAAAUUGAUGACUUCUCUGAAAAAGAAGGAAAAAGAGAUCGCUGAAGUACAAGAACAAUUUUGCCAGUAUUAAACAGCAUGCGUCCGAACUUCAAACAUUUUUAACAAUGAAAGAUAUCGAAAAAGAUAUUGCAGGCGAAGAAAAAUUUAUUCAAAUGAUUGCCACAAAUGGCUCCACAAAUCAAGUCAAUAUUUCAUGUCAGAUUAACAAGUCUUUACAGCAAAUACAGCCAACGUGCAGAAGUUUGGAGAAAUUAAUGUCAGUUCUGAUCCAUGUGAUUUUUCCAUUCAGAAACGGAAGGACAGACAAGCCCAGAUUAUGGUAUCUCUUCCAACCAAAUAU